rnacentral:lncRNA from 1 species
GACAGCCAUCUCGACAGAGCGAAGACUUGGAUGUGGCAUGCCAUCCUCUGAAAACCACAAAAACAUCCAUAGAGAUUGUAUGGUAAGUGAGCCUUGCUGUAGUUUGAUUUGAUUUCGUUAUGACAGUUCAUGACCAUGCUGAUUACCAGAAGGUUUCUUGAUGGCUCGGAGAUGCUGUAAGACGAAGGCCUCGACAUGGCCCCGGAGGCGAUGAGCGAUGAUGUGGCAAGGGUGAGCAGCGUGGCGACGAUGACGGUUGCCACGAAUGUUACAGUGACGAUGGUGGCGAUGAUUGAUGAGGAUUCAGGUACAGAAUCUGCAUGUGCAGGGGUCAUAGUGAAGUUGUCAAUGCGACUGACUAGUUACUACUAAUAGGUUUGCAAAUCUAGAUGUAAAUUUAUGUACGUACAGUGUCUGACUUGGAGGCGGUCUGAUGCCAGGUUGAGAUUCCCAGCGACGUCCUGAGCUGUGUUCUCAGCGACCUGGACCGAAACCAGCUUGUCAACUGCCUGGAUAUGCAUUGUGUAUAUGCUCUUGCUUGCUUCAUGGAAGCUGAAAGCAGCAAAAUCGACCGUCACCUUGGCGAUCUAAGGUACUACAGUAAAACUUAUUUAAUUUUUCAGAUGUUUGGAAUCUCUAUUGAUUCUUGCCUACACAGAUUGCCACCGGAAACCUGCACCGCGGAGGAACUGAAGUUAAACACGGGCUUUUCAAACUUGAUGAGGACCGGGAUGCUGCGCGAACUUGUCCGCACGGUCGACGUCGCGAGUUUCACAGAAGGCCUUUGACUAUCUGCAUAUCAAGCAAAAGAGGAAAUUUUUCAGAUGCAAAAUGAUGAGUGCUCUGCUUACAAAAAUGGAAGUAUAUAAAUUGGUUGGGAGUUGGAACAGAUACUAAUAAAUACC